rnacentral:rRNA from 1 species
UAUUAUGGCACCUAACGCGUGUAUGUUGACCGCCUGGGGAGAAUGGUCGCAAGAUUAAAACUCUAAGGAAUUGUCGGGGACCCCCACAAACGGUGGAUAAUGUGGAUUUUUUCUAUGCACCGCGAAAAAACUUACCUACCCUUGACAUGUCUGGAAAGCCGAAAAAAUUUGGCCGUGCUCGCAAGAGAACAGGAACACAGGUGCUGCAUGGCUGUCUUCUCCUCUUGUCUUGAGAUAUUGGGUUAAAUCCCCCAACAAGCGCACCCCUUGUCAUUAUUUGUUACACAAUAACAUUCUAAUGACACUGCCGGUGACAAACCGGAGGAAGGUGGGGAGGAGGUCUAAUCCUCAUGGCCCUUAUGGGUAGGGCUUCGCACUUCAUACAAGGGUCGGGACACAGGGUCGCCGACCCCCAAGGGGGAGCGAAUCUCAAAAACCCGAUCGUAGUCCGGAUCGCAGUCUGCAACUCGACUGCGUGAAGUCGGAAUCUCUAGUAAUCGCGGAUCAUAAAGUCGCGUUGAAUACUUUCCCGGUUCUUGUACACACCGCCCGUCACACCACGCGAGUG